rnacentral:lncRNA from 1 species
GCAAUAGCUCGAAUGUGCGCGCUGUCAGGCGCUGAGGCGGGGACCACAUGACCUGCGUUCAUUCCUGUACUGUAGUACCGCUGUGACGCGCGCUGUGUGAAGCGCAUUUCUCCGCCGCUCGCGAGAGGAGCUCAGUAUUAUCAUGUACCAGACCGCUGUGCUGCACUGAAAUACUGUCGGAUAUUUUUUUCAAACAGCGGGCUCAUUCUCUUAUUUACAGAAUAGACGUGAUUACGGGAGACGAUGCCUGAAGAAAAAGCAUUUCACCAGCAGGCUGUUCACAGUUCCCUGGAACAGCAGAAGGGACAGCGGCAGAGCGGCCCCAUCCCGUGUCAAAACUGUGGCAAGCCCUGCAAAGGCGAGGUGCUCCGGGUGCAGAACAAACACUUCCACAUCAAGUGCUUUGUCUGCAAAGGAGUCAUUCUAGGAACACGGGCGGGUGUUGUUUUUACAGGAAGUGUCUUUCCAGCACUCAGUGUGCUGUCACACCACAUUCAAC